CCUCCACAUAAGUCUUACUGCACUCACACACCAAGUAUUAGCACAUGUAUACACUUUCUAUUCAAUAAAGUUGCUAUGCAACACUCUGCAACAGACUCCUUCACUUCCGUACAGUGUGCUCAGCUGAAGUAAUCUGCUUCCAAAUGAUGAAUCAGUUACUAAAUUGUAAGUGGAAACUGGAAGGCAUCAAACACAAUGCAAAGACUCUUCUUUGCAUAAGACCAACACUACAAGAAGAGUAAACUGAAGAAACAUCUUCUGCUUCAAUGUUGAAAAACAUAAUAACAGAAGUGAAAGAAAUUCAGAUGAUCAGAAAUGACUACAGACUCCCUGCUCAAAAGCAGGCAGAAAUAAAACAAAACCAGCCACCACUCCCCCACUCCCAAACCUUGUGCCUUGCUAUGGGAAGAAGGGAUGAAAGAGCUAGCAGUAACAGCGACGUCUCACCUAGCAACCUGCCACGCAAUUGCAAGAGGACAAUAACAACAAAUGGAGGUGGAAUUUCACCCCAAGCCCAGGACACAGGCAUGCUCAGAGCAGAAAGCAACUGCCUCUGACACACACCCAAAGGACAAAACCCCAAAAGGCAGCAUUCCUGGGACUAUAGUCAGGAAAGAAAGAGAUAUGUAGGAAUGCUAAUGAAGGUGGAGUUUUAUACUGAUAAAAGGAGCAGACAGACAGCUUCAUGGUCAGGACGCUCAGGGGAAAUUCAAUGGCUUGCGCUCUGCGGAGGUCAGCCAAGAUGAUUGAAAGCCUCCCUAGGGCCUCUGCAUCUACAGAGAGGGUCUCUGAUGGGCCAGUGCUGGUCUCACCUACACCACUCGUCCCCCAGCAUAACUCCUGAAAAUGGGGGGCCGACUCCAGCUGUUGCGGGCUAUAAAUAAAAAUAAAACAAGCCCUCAGAUUUUUGUUAGUCAGGUUUUGCUCCUGAACACCAGGGCCUGGCAAUUAACACGCCUUUGGCAGGCAUCUACAGGAGUCAAUUGGGUAUCAUUCAAGAUGUUCCCACUCAUCGUAAAGGUUAAGUCUGCACUGAUAAGAGGGAUCAGCCUCCAAGCAGUCUCUGAGCGCAGAUUUACAGGACUGCUUUGGAAGCAGGGGAGAAAGGGAGCUGCCAUGCCAUGGUUGGCCAUACAUCCCAGAGGGUUAAGCAAGCCAUGCAUGACCUCCAGGGCAUCCCCCUUGCCUCAGUAUCAGCUUCCAACAGAGAUGCUCUCAUCUUUGUCUCCCCCACGAUGGACAUGUUAAAUGCCAUGUGUAUGGUCAGUGCCCAAAACAGCUGUUUCUCUGCCUGACCCCUUCCUGCCACGCUGGGCACACAGAACUCAACCUCAGCUCCUCAGUCACACCUUGCGGCCCUCUCUGUCCCUGGCUAUUGCCAAGAGACAAAAACACACCCAGCAAGAGGGACACGACCACUUUCUAGAAGGGCUCUGCAUGGAGCCACAGAUCCUGACAUCUGUCUCCAAAUAGGUGUCAUCAUGAAAGUGACUUUGGCACAAAGCAAAAGCAUAUAAGGAGGAGGGAGGAGGACAACUGUGCAAACUUCCUCAGAUCUGGGAAAGAAAAGGGAGAAUCUGAGCUCAAGAUAAGGAUUAAGAGAGCUCUGGCAAGGUCUUAGCCACUGCAGACAGCCUGAUUAAGGAGAUUAUGGGGAAGAGCAGAGAGACUUCCUGCUAUUCUGUGAGACAGAAAAAUGUAUGGAAGAAAUGCUGAAAGUCUCAUGGGGCUGUACGUGGCAGCUGCUGCCUUUGAGCAGGAAAGAGCCAGAAACAUCAGAGUGAGACAGCUAGCUGAGUUCAGAGCUUCUGCAACCCCUGGAGCCCAACGGUAUGCAACCUGCCAGCCAGCUCACCUCCAUCCACUCAGAGACAUCCAAAGCCUGAGCCACCUCUGUCGAUACCUCCCGUGGUUAAAUAAUGAUGGCAAUGCCUGUUUAUUCCCCUCCCAGGCUUGCAAGGAGAGCAAUGCUGACUUGAGAAACAAACAAAAAAAAGAGAGGCAGAGUAAGGGAAGAACCAGAGUUCCUCCACAAUGGGGAAAGAACCUGCACACACCAUGUGGCAGCCUCCACUAGUUUAGUAUCUGAUCCCAGCCCAGAGAACAACACAGCCUUACUGAUCGUGUAUUCACCACGUAUAGCCCAAGCUGGCCAGGUAUGAGAG